UACAGAGGUCUCAAGCGUUGUUCGGAUUCAUUGGGCGUAAAGGGUGCGUAGGUGGCGCCGUAAGUCAGGUGUGAAAUUUCGGAGCUUAACUCCGAAACUGCAUUUGAUACUGCGGUGCUUGAGGACUGGAGAGGAGACUGGAAUUCACGGUGUAGCAGUGAAAUGCGUAGAUAUCGUGAGGAAGACCAGUGGCGAAGGCGGGUCUCUGGACAUUUCCUGACGCUGAGGCACGAAAGCCAGGGGAGCAAACGGG
rnacentral:rRNA from 1 species